UGGGGAAUAUUGCACAAUGGGCGGAAGCCUGAUGCAGCGACGCCGCGUGGGGGAUGAAGGCCUUCGGGUUGUAAACUCCUUUCGACAGGGACGAAGCUUUUGUGACGGUACCUGUAUAAGAAGCACCGGCUAACUACGUGCCAGCAGCCGCGGUAAUACGUAGGGUGCGAGCGUUGUCCGGAAUUACUGGGCGUAAAGAGCUCGUAGGUGGUUUGUCGCGUCGUCUGUGAAAUUCCGGGGCUUAACUCCGGGCGUGCAGGCGAUACGGGCUGACUUUAGUGCUGUAGGGGAGACUGGAAUUCCUGGUGUAGCGGUGAAAUGCGCAGAUAUCAGGAGGAACACCGAUGGCGAAGGCAGGUCUCUGGGCAGUAACUGUCGCUGAGGAGCGAAAGCAUGGGUAGCGAACAGG
rnacentral:rRNA from 1 species